rnacentral:misc_RNA from 1 species
GAUGAAGAACGUAGCGAAAUGCGAUAAGUAAUGUGAAUUGCAGAAUUCAGUGAAUCAUCGAAUCUUUGAACGCACAUUGCGCCCGCUAGUAUUCUGGCGGGCAUGCCUGUUCGAGCGUCAUUUCAACCAUCAAGCCCCAGGCUUGUGUUGGGGGCCUGCGGCUGCCGCAGCCCCCCAAAAGCAGUGGCGGGCUCGCUAUCACACCGAGUGCAGUAGUUCAUCUUCUCUCCGGUCUUGUGAGGCGGGUUCCGGCCGUGAAACACCCCACUACAUUCAAGGUUGACCUCGGAUCAGGUAGGAAUACCCGCUGAACUUAAGCAUAUCAAUAAGCGGAGGA